AAACUGCCCCUUAAGUUUUGCAACUGUAGCCGUUUUGGCCUCCAGAGCCAAUUUUUGGUAAAAAAAAACACGUGGCACCUCACUUAGGGUGUCACGUCAGUGUAGACCGAAUCAAAAUUGACUUUGGGGGGCCAAAACUGCCACAUAUGCAAAAUUUAGGGGGCGGUUU
rnacentral:pre_miRNA from 1 species